rnacentral:rRNA from 1 species
GAUGAACGCUGGCGGCGUGCUUAACACAUGCAAGUCGAACGAACUAUAUUAAUGGAAGUCUUCGGAUGGAAAUCAAUAUAGUUAGUGGCGGACGGGUGAGUAACGCGUGGGAAACCUGCCCUAUACAGGGGAAUAGCCUCGGGAAACCGGGAUUAAUACCCCAUGAAGCUCAAGUAUCGCAUGAUACGUGAGUCAAAGAUUUAUCGGUAUGGGAUGGUCCCGCGUCUGAUUAGCUAGUUGGUGAGGUAACGGCUCACCAAGGCGACGAUCAGUAGCCGGCCUGAGAGGGUGAACGGCCACACUGGAACUGAGACACGGUCCAGACUCCUACGGGUGGCAG